CCUACGGGAGGCAGCAGUGGGGAAUCUUGCACAAUGGGCGAAAGCCUGAUGCAGCAACGCCGCGUGGGGGAUGAAGGCCCUCGGGUUGUAAACCCCUUUCAGCAGGGACGAAUCUGACGGUACCUGCAGAAGAAGCCCCGGCCAACUACGUGCCAGCAGCCGCGGUAAGACGUAGGGGGCGAGCGUUGUCCGGAUUUAUUGGGCGUAAAGAGCUCGUAGGCGGUUUGGCAAGUCGGAUGUGAAACCUCCAGGCUUAACCUGGAGACGCCAUUCGAUACUGCUAUGACUUGAGUCCGGUAGGGGCGCAUGGAAUACCCGGUGUAGCGGUGAAAUGCUUAGAUAUCGGGUGGAACACCAGUGGCGAAGGCGGUGCGCUGGGCCGGAACUGACGCUGAGGAGCGAAAGCGUGGGUAGCAAACAGGAUUAGAUACCCGUGUAGU
rnacentral:rRNA from 1 species